rnacentral:rRNA from 1 species
AUGCUUGUAGAACGCGACUUAUCUGGUUAGNANNNACUNUUUUAAGUCGAGUGGCGAAAGGGUGCGUAACACGUGGGAAUUUACCAAGAAGUGGGGAAUAGCUCGACGAAAGUCGAAUUAAUACCGCAUAUGAUCGCAAGAUCAAAGCCGGGGACCGCAAGGCCUGGCGCUUUUUGAGAAGCCCGCGUCCCAUCAGCUAGUUGGCGGGGUAACGGCCCACCAAGGCUAUGACGGGUAGCUGGUCUGAGAGGACGACCAGCCACACUGGAACUGAUACUCGGUCCAGAUUUUUUUUUUUUUGUUAGCAGUCAAGAAUUUUUUCAUUGGACGAAAGUCUGAUGGAGCGACCCCCGCGUGGA